AGAGAUGGAUUGGUGCCUUCGGGAACUCUGACACAGGUGCUGCAUGGCUGUCGUCAGCUCGUGUCGUGAGAGUGUUCGGGUUAAGUCCCGUAACGAGCGCAACCCUUGUCCUUAGUUACCAGCACGUUAUGGUGGGCACUCUAAGGAGACUGCCGGUGACAAACCGGAGGAAGGUGGGGAUGACGUCAAGUCAUCAUGGCCCUUACGGCCUGGGCUACACACGUGCUACGAAUGGUCGGUACAAAGGGUUGCCAAGCCGCGAGGUGGAGCUAAAUCCCAUAAAACCGAUCGUAGUCCGGAUCGCAGUCUGCAACUCGACUGCGUGAAGUCGGAAUCGCUAGUAAUCGUGAAUCAGAAUGGUCACGGUGAAUACGUUCCCGGGCCUU
rnacentral:rRNA from 1 species